GCCUUCGUAGCUCAGUGGAUAGAGCAACGGUUUCCUAAACCGCAGGUCGCAGGUCCGAUUCCUGCCGAGGGCG
rnacentral:tRNA from 1 species